UCGCUCCCUCGCCCCGGGCUGGACCCCCGGGAAACACCUCCAGCCUCUCCGGAGGGGCCCGGGCAGCACCCACCGCCCCGGGGCUCUCCGAACACCCUGAUCAGGGGUCGGUGGGAGCUCUCAGCCCUUGCCCCCGGUGCUGCUCGUUUGCCUGAAGUGCAAUUAACUGGGAACUGAGCUUAUCAAGCAGGGGGUGCUCAGGUGCUGCCACUGCUGGGGCUCAGGGUCCCUCCUGAGUGUCCUCACCGAGCUCUGGGAAAAAGGGAUGAGCAGAGAGCAAAGCAAAGCCCACCCCCCCGGGGGGAUUCCUGUGGGGUUUGGGGUCCCAAACACCAUCCGUGCUGCAGUGUGAGGAAGCUGGAACAAGCACCUGAGUAAGGAAUUCAGUGGACUAACAGAACCUAUAGCCAACUGAAUUCAUGCUCACUGAAGGAAAACAAGGAAAACGUGGCCAAAUAAUUUCAAAGAAUUUUACAGCACUUGAGUGAAGCUCCUAGAACUGAAGCACUGAAAUGCUUCUUCUAAGACUUUGCUGUGCCAAGGGCUGGGAGAAAACAUACUCAGCACUUUCUGAAAGUGAUUCCUCUGUAAGGGCUGUCAAACACAGGUACCUGGAAUGUACACCUGGGAAUGUAACAUCUGAACCUUC